AGUGAACGCUGGCGGUAGGCCUAACACAUGCAAGUCGAACGGCAGCACAGUAAGAGCUUGCUCUUACGGGUGGCGAGUGGCGGACGGGUGAGGAAUACAUCGGAAUCUACUUUUUCGUGGGGGAUAACGUAGGGAAACUUACGCUAAUACCGCAUACGACCUACGGGUGAAAGCAGGGGAUCUUCGGACCUUGCGCGAUUGAAUGAGCCGAUGUCGGAUUAGCUAGUUGGCGGGGUAAAGGCCCACCAAGGCGACGAUCCGUAGCUGGUCUGAGAGGAUGAUCAGCCACACUGGAACUGAGACACGGUCCAGACUCCUACGUGAGGCAGCAGUGGGGAAUAUUGGACAAUGGGCGCAAGCCUGAUCCAGCCAUACCGCGUGGGUGAAGAAGGCCUUCGGGUUGUAAAGCCCUUUUGUUGGGAAAGAAAAGCAGCAGGUUAAUACCCCGCUGUUCUGGCGGUACCCAAAGAAUAAGCACCGGCUAACUUCGUG
rnacentral:rRNA from 1 species